UUCGGUAGGCAGAACUACAUACAGUCAGUCUGGCUUUCAAGUUUGGUUGAAAUGGUAAGCUUGGGAUGGGAUUUAGAGUUUUAUUUGACAUAUUUAUGUAAUUGUUACAUUGUAUACAAUUGUAAACUAUUACAUUAAGCCAAUUAAGUUCAAUGAAGCUGUUCAGAUUUUACUGCAGAUUGGACUGAGACAGUUGAUAAUGUGUUGAAAAGACAUCUGGAUGGACACAGCACUAUCCUACCACACCUUUCUUCAAGCAAGAAGCUUUUACUUUGGAACUGGAUGCAAUUAUAAAGAAGAAACGGACCUUCAUUUGGAAUACUAACAACAUUUUCAUUAUGCCAACUUGAAUGGCAUGGCUUUUGAGGAAACCUAACCCUGAUUGUUUUGAAAGUGUUCACAAGAGUGGUCGAGUUUACUUUUGAGGAAUCUUCUGAAGUCUUUACGGGAACAAAAUCGCAAAAUGGAUCAAGCAAGCGGUGGAGAAGAUCCUAAUAAAGCUAAUAAAAAGAAAGAAAAAGAGGAUGAGAGUAAAAACAAAAAACUGCGUGACCGGAUCACCAGUUUUCGGAAGACUGGGAAUAAAAAGGACAAGCCCCUGAUUCAGCACUCCACAGACCCCCUGUCCACUCAGGUAGAGAUGCCCAUGCCCCAGCCCCUCUUCGACGACCGCUCCAUGAACCUCUCCGAGAAGGAGAUCAAUGACCUCUUUGAGAAGAUGAUGGAGGACAUGAACCUGAAUGAGGAGCGUAAAGCCCCCCUGCGUGGGAAGGACCUGAGCACCAAGCGAGAGAUGGUUGUCCAGUACAUCUCUGCCACCGCUAAAUCUGUGCUACGAGGAGGAGGACUGAGGAACAGCAAGCAUGAGUGUACACUAUCAUCACAGGAGUAUGUCCACGAGCUGCGCUCUGGCAUCACUGAUGACAAGCUGCUGAUCUGCCUGGAGUCCCUUCGUGUCUCUCUCACCAGUAACCCUGUCAGCUGGGUGAACAACUUUGGCCAUGAAGGACUGGGCCUCCUCUUGGAUGCAUUGGAUAAGUUGCUGGAUAAGAAACAGCCAGAAAGUAUAGACAAAAGGAACCAGCACAAGCUGAUCCAGUGUCUCAAGGCCUUCAUGAACAAUAAGUAUGGACUGCAAAGGAUUCUGGGAGAUGAGCGAAGCUUGCUUCUCCUGGCCAGGGCCAUUGACCCAAAACAGACCAGUAUGAUGACAGAGAUCGUCAAGAUCCUCUCAGCUAUCUGCAUCAUUGGAGAGGAAAACAUCCUGGAUAAGAUCCUGGCUGCCAUGACGAUUGCGGCGGAGAGGAAUAACAAGGAGAGAUUUUCUCCGAUAGUGGAGGGACUGGAGAAUCACGAGGCCCAACAGCUCCAGGUGGCCUGCAUGCAGCUGAUCAACGCUCUGGUCACCUCUCCAGACGAUCUGGACUUCAGGAUACAUCUGCGCAACGAGUUCCUCCGCUGUGGCCUCAAGAAGAUCCUCCCGCUGAAAGAGACAGAGGAGCUGGACAUCCAACUGAAGGUGUUCAACGAGAACAAGGAGGAGGACUCCAUUGAGGUCUCCCAUCGCCUCGAUGACAUCCGCGCCGAGAUGGAAUAUCCUUUUGUGUACCAUCUCCUGUCCAACAUGGUGAAAGACACCGGGUCGGAGACCUACUUCCUGUCCAUCCUACAGCACCUCCUGCUCAUCAGGAACGACUACUACAUCAGGCCCCAGUACUACAAGGUCAUAGAGGAAUGUGUGUCUCAGGUGGUUCUCCAUCGCAGCGGGAUGGACCCAGACUUCGGAUACAGAGAGAGACUGGAUGUAGACUUCACCCACCUCAUUGGUAGGUCUGCCAGAAUAGUGCCUCAGGAAAUGGCGGAGAAUUGCUUCUGGAUCAAAGUCAAAGAGGAGAAGUUUGAGAAUCAAGAAUUCUUUGAACAGCUCUCCCUCAGCUUUUCCUCCAGGACCAAAGGUAAGCAGACAGACGCCAGGGUGACGCAAUUCAAGAAAAAGGCGAAGGAGCUGCGAAUCUUGGACGCAAAGACGGCACAGAAUUUGUCAAUUUUCCUGGGCUCAUUCCGGCUGCCUUAUGAAGAGAUCCGGGACAUUGUGCUGGAGGUGGACGAGGGGAGGCUGAGCGAAUCACUGAUCCAGAACCUGAUAAAGAACCUACCAGAACAGAAGGAGCUGAGCGCUCUGGCAGAACUGAAGAAUGAGUACGAGGAACUAUGUGAGCCUGAACAGUUUGGCAUUGUGAUGAGCUCUGUGAAGCUGCUGCGCUCACGCCUCAACGGAAUCCUUUUCAAGCUGACCUUCGAGGAGCAGGUGAACAACAUCCGUCCAGACAUCAUGAAUGUGACGUUCGCCUGCGAGGAGGUGAAGAAGAGUGACAGCUUCAGCAAGCUGCUGGAGAUGGUAUUGCUGGUGGGCAACUACAUGAACGCUGGCUCCCGGAAUGCCCAGACCUUUGGCUUCAACAUCAGCUUCCUCUGCAAGCUUCGAGACACUAAGUCGGCCGACCAAAACACAACGCUGCUCCACUUCCUGGCUGAGAAGUGUGAAGAAAAGUACCCGGAGAUCCUGAGGUUCCCUGAAGAGCUGCAGCACGUGGAGAGUGCUAGCAAAGUUUCUGCCGAGAUCCUGAAGAGCAGUCUCAGCACCAUGGAGAGACACAUCCAGAGGCUAGAAAAUGACAUUGAGAACUUCCCAAAGACGGACGACAAAAAGGAUAAGUUUGUGGAAAAAUUAUCCAUAUCCUUUUCAUGCUUUUUAUUAAUUUCUCACAUUGUCUUAAAUGAACGUAUCGCUGAAGUAGAAAGUAGACAUGUUUUGGCCAUUUGCCGCCUGUGGAUUGUCCACCAGAGAGACUGUGCUGUGCUUGUGUUCUCCCGGGCAGGAAAGAGUAGUUAACGGCCAUAAGUGUGGCUUGUGGCACCCGUGGGCUUAAAGGAAUGGAUAUGGCUGCCUUCCCACUAGUGAGAUGUUUAUCAGAUCUCCUCCUCCUCUACCCAACGUUCCCCAGAGAGAGUUCAGGCCUUGAGCUAUUUUUACCGCUGCUCCACCACUGCCUCCCCUCGGGGUCUCUAAUGAGGGCUCGUUCCCCCACGCGGACUUAUCGCCCACCUCCUGAUUUCAUCUCCCAACCAGCCACAGGCCUCUCCACAUAGACUUUCUGUGGACUAUCACCUUGUGCGGCUCUUCUCUCGUUUUGAUAACAGAGUGCUUUCACUUAAACUCAAGCGGUUCGGCUCUCGAAUCAAAUUAGUGAUGCCUGAGCACUUCUCAGACUCCAUUUUAAGGAGGAAGGAGCCUCGGCAGAAUAGGUUUGUCUAGUAAUCUGGCACCUACAGUACAGACACUACAGUAUAUAGAGUCUCAUUGGUUGAAACCAACUCGGAUGGCAAUAGCUAGGGGCUAUGAUACCUCCUAUCAAUAUAUUUGUAUUAAAACAGACAGCAUUCCUCUGUUUUUUUUUAAAUGGAACCUUUAUUUAACUAAGCAAGUCAGUUAAGAACAAAUUCUUAUUUACAAUGAUGGCUUACCUUGUUCAGGGGCAGAACGACAGAUUUUUACCUUGCGCUCUAACCACUAGGCUACCUGUCUUUAGGUGUGCGUUACCACAUUUAAUAAGGGAAAGCAAGAAUCAUUCAAGGGUAAUUCAUCAAUUCAGGAGGCAUUCCAUAUGUUCAACACUCACACUUGAAGACAUGUUCCGGAACUUUAGCUGCUACUAAGUAUUUUUUAAACCUCCCGCUUUGGGCUGGAUGUGUCAAUGUGUAGUUCAUACAUGCAUAAUCUAUGACCAGAUUUACUUUAUAUCCUAAAUUAGCCAGCAAAUCCUUAGUUUGAAAGCAACAGUUUUACUGGAAGCUGUGCUUGCCCGCACAUGGGCCAGCCCCCUAACAAUUUGACCAUGAGCUUCAGCCCCUUGCUAUAUGUGUGACAGCUAGCAAGGUGCACAUGAUGCACCCACACCACACCCGAGCAGAGAGAGAGAACAGAGUGGUGCACAUAUCUGUUCAAGUUUCAGGGACCCCUUGAGCGCUACUUUCAAAACUACUGGCUAAAAAGUACACACAAUUUCCGGAGAAUCCCUUUAAGAAAGUGUUUAACCUUAAUUUGAGCUCUUUGUUAGCUUGCAAUUUUUUUUUAGCUUUUAGCUGACAUAAGAGUUAUAGCUGCCUAACACAUCAGAAAUCUGCUCCUAGGCAAAGAUUGGCACUUAAUCUGUGUACAUUUUAUAUCUUUAAAAAAUAGAGGCUUCGGCAAAAACCUCCCCUGCAGCUCUGAACCAAGACAGGGAGGAAAGGCAGCUCAGGGCCCCUGAUGUCUGUAUCGAUUCUGGGGCUCCAUGGAGGAUGUCGGCUUGACUGAGAGGAAAUGGAGAGCUGCAUAUAUACUGGAGUAGUGCUCCCCCUCACUGUCUGAAUCGUGUCCCCAGAGAGUGAGAGGGAGAGAAGCUGCCUGGCCAUGAAUGGAAACGCCCCACUUCCCCGUCUCACCUGAUCUGGCAUCAGAGCUGAAAUGGAGCCUCAGUCGUAUUUGGCCGAACCAAUUUUAGUUAAUGCCUCAUUGUGAAAAAAGCAAAGACAAACAUUUAAAAAUGGUUUUUUUACCUCCAUUUUGUAGUCUUCCAACCUCCUUCCACUCUGUGUUCAGCCAGGUUAAGGGUGACACAGCUGCACUCACUCCUUUGCGCGUGACAGAGUAGGCAUUCUUACCUUACUAUAGAAAGCCAGAAAGAUGUUUUACUGUCCCUUUAUGGCGCCCACGAUCGAUGAGGGGAGUCGAGGUGAUUCAAGUGGUAAGGUGGAGAGUGUAUCGGUGUCUAUCAGACCUCUCUCAUGCUGUCUGUGUCUGUCUCUCCCCGUUAGUAAUCACCUCUCUCUGUGUCUCUGUCUCUCCCCGUCAGCAAUCACCUCUCUCUGCGUCUCUGUCUCUCCCAGUUAGCAAUCCCCUCUCUGUGUCUCUGUCUCUCCCCGAUAGCAAUCACGUCUCUCUGCGUCUCCCCGUUAACAAUCACCUCUCUCAUGCUGUCUGUGUCUCUGUCUCUCCCCGUUUGCAAUCACCUCUCUCUGGGUCUCUUCCCGUUAGUUAACCCCUCUCUCUGUGUCUUUGUCUCUCCCUGUUUGCAAUCACCUCUCUCUGUGUCUCUCUCUCCCUGUUCGCAAUCACUUCUCUCAUGCUGUCUGUGUCUCUGUCUCUCCUCGUUAGUAAACACCUCUCUCUGUGUCUCUGUCUCUCCCCAUUAGCAAUCACCUUUCUCUGCAUCUCUGUCUCUCCCCGUUAGCAAUCACCUGUCUCUGCGUCUCUGUCUCUCCCCGUUAGCAAUCACCUGUCUCUGCGUCUCUGUCUCUCCCCGUUAGCAAUCACCUCUCUCUGCGUCUCUGUCUCUCCUUGUUAGCAAUCACCUCUCUCUGUGUCUUUGUCUCUCCCUGUUAGCGAUCACCUCUCUGUGUCUUUGUCUCUCCCCGUUAGCAAUCACCUCUCUCUGUGUCUUUGUCUCUCCCCGUUAGCAAUCACCUCUCUCUGUGUCUCUGUCUCUCCCUGUUCGCAAUCACUUCUCUCAGGCUGUCUGUGUCUCUGUCUCUCCUCAUUAGUAAACACCUGGAGAGCGUAUCGGUGUCUAUCAGACCUCUCUCAUGCUGUCUGUGUCUGUCUCUCCCCGUUAGUAAACACCCCUCUCUGUGUCUCUGUCUCUCCCCGUUAGCAAUCACCUCUCUCUGUGUCUUUGUAUCUCCCUGCUCGCAAUCACCUCUCUCUGCGUCUCUGUCUCUCCCCGUUAGCAAUCACCUCUCUCUGUGUCUUUGUCUCUCCCCGUUAGCAAUCACCUCUCUCAUGCUGUCUCUGUCUCUGUCUCUCCUCAUUAGUAAACACCUGUCUCUGUGUCUUUGUCUCUCCCCGUUAGCAAUCACCUCUCUCUGUGUCUUUGUCUCUCCCCAUUAGCAAUCACCUCUCUUUCUCUCACUCACUAGAGUGGGUUUGACCUGCGUGUGACCUUUUUCUUGGUAAUGAAGUAAUGCAGUUCAUCUGCUAGUCAAAAUAACAAGGUGUUUGGUAAACAUGGCUCUUCUGUGACCCUGCUCGAAUCAAUUCACAUGAUUAGGCAUCAAGGGUAAUUCGCAAGUUUUCUAAAUAAAAUAUGCUGUGUGUUCGGACUUGAAUUUCUU
rnacentral:lncRNA from 1 species